AUAUAUAUAUAUAUAUAUAUAUAUAUAUGUGUGUGUGUGUGUGUGUAUGUAUGUAUACACACACACACACACACACACAUAUAU
rnacentral:miRNA from 1 species